GACGAACGCUGGCGGCGUGCUUAACACAUGCAAGUCGAACGGAAAGGCCCUGCUUUUGUGGGGUGCUCGAGUGGCGAACGGGUGAGUAACACGUGAGUAACCUGCCCUUGACUUUGGGAUAACUUCAGGAAACUGGGGCUAAUACCGGAUAGGAGCUCCUGCUGCAUGGUGGGGGUUGGAAAGUUUCGGCGGUUGGGGAUGGACUCGCGGCUUAUCAGCUUGUUGGUGGGGUAGUGGCUUACCAAGGCUUUGACGGGUAGCCGGCCUGAGAGGGUGACCGGCCAAAUGGGGAUUGGGAUACGGCCCAGACCCCUGCGGGGGGCAGGCGGGGGGUAUUUUGCCAAAGGGGGGGAGGCCGUAUCGAGCAACGCCGGGUGGGGGAGGGGGGCCUUCGGGUUUAAAACCGCUUUCGCCGGUGACGAAGGGUGGGGGAGGGGAAUGGGAAAAGAAGCACCGGUUAACUACGU
rnacentral:rRNA from 1 species